CAGCCCCAGGAUUUACACAGCUUCUUUUUGCCUAGAGUUCCCUGAGUGGGCUGGAAUCAGGUAUCCACUACUUACCCCUGUGGAAAUCACCAUCACCAUACCUGGCAACCGAGAGGACAUGGUGAUGACAGAAUCAGAGAUCCUGUUCAGGACAAAGAUCAACAGACUCCUGGCCCGCCAACCUGUUGCUCCUCCAAAGCCUGUUUCACUACAGCUGGAUCCCCCAGCAAUGCAGCCCGGGCGUGAGGCCUUUUU
rnacentral:lncRNA from 1 species